GAUGAACGCUGGCGGCGUGCCUAAUACAUGCAAGUCGAGCGAACGGACGAGAAGCUUGCUUCUCUGAUGUUAGCGGCGGACGGGUGAGUAACACGUGGAUAACCUACCUAUAAGACUGGGAUAACUUCGGGAAACCGGAGCUAAUACCGGAUGAUAUUUUGAACCGCAUGGUUCAAAAGUGAAAGACGGUCUUGCUGUCACUUAUAGAUGGAUCCGCGCUGCAUUAGCUAGUUGGUAAGGUAACGGCUUACCAAGGCAACGAUGCAUAGCCGACCUGAGAGGGUGAUCGGCCACACUGGAACUGAGACACGGUCCAGACUCCUACGGGAGGCAGCAGUAGGGAAUCUUCCGCAAUGGGCGAAAGCCUGACGGAGCAACGCCGCGUGAGUGAUGAAGGUCUUCGGUUCGUAAAGCUCUGUUAUUAGGGAAGAACAUAUGUGUAAGUAACUGUGCACAUCUUGACGGUACCUAAUCAGAAAGCCACGGCUAACUACGUG
rnacentral:rRNA from 1 species